GACGAACGCUGGCGGCGUGCUUAACACAUGCAAGUUGAACGGGCAUACAUGGAAGCUUGCUGAAGUGUAUGUUAGUAGCGGACGGGUGAGUAAUGCAUGAGGACCUGCCUACCGGAGGGGGACAACAGUUGGAAACGGCUGCUAAUACCCCGUAUGCCGAGAGGGGAAAGGAAUGGAGACAUUCCGCCGGGAGAGGGACUCAUGUCCUAUCAGCUGGUUGGUGAGGUAACGGCUCACCAAGGCGACGACGGGUAGCCGGCCUGAGAGGGCGACCGGCCACACUGGAACUGAGAGACGGUCCAGACUCCUACGGGAGGCAGCAGUGGGGAAUAUUGGGCAAUGGGGGCAACCCUGACCCAGCGACGCCGCGUGAGGGAAGAAGGCCUUCGGGUCGUAAACUUCUUUUGUACGUGAAGAAGCAGAUGACGGUAGCGUACGAAUAAGUCCCGGCUAACUACGUGCCAGCAGCCGCGGUAA
rnacentral:rRNA from 1 species